GAUGGCUGCAAUAUAUAAUCUUCGGGAUUAAAGGCUCUAAUUACCUCGCAGGGAGCUGUGUCCAUGGGAGCACUCCCCACAGGGGUGGAGGACAGCCAGGACGCCUUGGCAGGGACAUCUCCUUCCUGGAUUGUGGUCUGGAUGCCCACACAGGGGCCAAGACCUAGAGAGAAGGCAGGAACCACAGGGUUUCAUAGGAAAACAGUGGAAAUCACCUGGAAAAGGCAACGCAGUUUCCCUUUGUAAUUUUUUUCACCGGGCUCCCUUGCUAGAAGGCCAUGGGGAUGUGGAGGUUGUAGCUUGGAGGCUGCAGCAUCCAAAAGACAAGGAAAGGUACAGCUCUGCUGGUUUUUGCUGUUUGCUCACCUGAGCUGUGAAAAAAGAGUGGAAGAAGAGUGGCCAGCAGGCCAGGAGAAGAAAUUCUGCCUCUCUGCCCCACUCAGGUGAGAGCCCACCUGCAGAGCUGCCUCCAGCCCUGGGGCCCAGCACAGGGAGGACAUGGAGCUGCUGGAGAGAGACCAAGAUUAAAAAAAAAAUCUAAAUGAUGAUGACCUAAAAAGCACCAUUGCUGGCUACCCAAAGGUGGAGGUUUACUUUGAGUUCAGUGCUCCAGGUGAACACACCCAAGGAGGAGAAAGGCAAUUCCAUCCAGAAAAAUCAGUGGAGGGCAAAAAUCCUUCACACUGAAAGGAAAACAUCACCCAUGGGGGUCUGUGGGUGAAACUCAGCUUGGCUGCCUGGGUGGACAGGGACAGCCAGAUCUGGGAUGCUCCUGGUAAGGAGAGGUCUCCCAGUGCCUCCUGGAAGCGCUGAUGUUUCUCUCUAAUUUUGGUGGUGAAUUUGCAACUGGCAACAAAAACGAGUUCUGGCCGCCUGGGUCUAGCACAGGCAUCAACCAGUCAGGGCUACUCAGAUAAAAGCUGUUUUGCAGGAAGCUGAAAAUGCCAGAAAUAGCAGUGUUUGGGGAAAUCUUUGUAUUUGCUUACAGAAUUUGUGGGUGUUUUCAAAGCCUCAAGGAGAUGCAUGUGGCCAUUUCUACCUUUGAGCCAAGCUUGCACCGCUCAGGAGAAGAAUCACCACAGGAAGACCUGGUUUGGUGUUGUGCUGGACACGUAUUUUGCUCUCUUCAUCUUAGGAAGUGUUUGUGACUCAAGAAUCCAUUUGACUCGUGAUCCUUAGCUGGAAUGAAACAGACCAUGCAAUCCACAAGCUGCUUUCUUUACUUCCUUGUCCUCUCCAUUUUGCUUUGAGAGAGCACGACUUCACCACUAGAAGAGCUCGUGGCAUGCCGUGAGCUGCCCCAACAGAUGCAUCUGCAAUAAAUGUGUGUCCAAUCUUCACAACAACAGCUGAUU
rnacentral:lncRNA from 13 species